CCUACGGGUGACAGCAGUGGGGAAUAUUGGGCAAGGGAGGCAACUCUGACCCAGCAACGCCGCGUGAAUGAUGAAGGUCUUCGGAUUGUAAAGUUCUUUUCUAAGGGAAGAAGAAAGUGACGGUACCGUAGGAAUAAGCCUCGGCUAACGACGUGCCAGCAGCCGCGGUAAUACGUAGGAGGCAAGCGUUAUCCGGAAUGACUGGGCGUAAAGGGGGCGGAGGUGGUUUGACAAGUUAGUAGCGCAACUCCGGAGCUCAACGGCGGAACGACUACUAAAACGGUUGGACUUGCGUGCAGGAGGGGCAAUCGGCCUUCCUAGUGUAGCGGUGUAAUGCGUCGCUCUUAGGAGGAACCCCAGUGGCGCCGGCGGAUUGCUAGACUGUACCUGACCCUGCGGCCC
rnacentral:rRNA from 1 species